rnacentral:rRNA from 1 species
UGUUUAUUGAAUAUAAAGAAAAGACGAACAGCUCAGUAACUCUUAUUUUAUUUGAUGUAUUAGGAUUAUAACUAUGUUAAAUUAUAGAUAACAAUAAUACAAUAAGAAUAAGAUCUAUCAGUUAGUUGUUAAGGUAAUGGCUUAACAAGACUAUGACGGAUAACGGUAUUACUUUGUAAUAUUCCGGAGAAGGAGCCUGAGAGAUUGCUACUAAGUCUAAGGAUUGCAGCAGGGGCGAAACUUGACCUAUGAUAUGAUAUUGAGGCAGUUAUGAGUAGUAUUUUUAAUUAUUGUAGUAUUGUAAGUAUAUACUACAAGAUAAAUCGGAGGGCAAAUCGAGUGCCAGCAGCCGCGGUAAUACUUGUUCCGAUAGUGUGUAUGAUGAUUGAUGCAGUUAAAAAGUCUGUAGUUUAUUAUUAAUAAGCAUUGUGAGGUAUAUUGUAUGGUUAGGAGAGAGAUGAAAUGUGAUAACCCUAACUGGAUGAACAGAAGCGAAAGCUAUAUACUUAAAUGUUUUAUUAGAACAAGGACGUAAGCUAGAGGAUCGAAGAUGAUUAGAUACCAUUGUAGUUCUAGCAGUAAACUAUGUUAAAUCAUAGAUACAUUAUUAAUAUGUAUUUAUGUAAAGAAAUUAAGAUUAUAUUGACUCUGGGGAUAGUAUGAUCGCAAGAUUGAAAAUUAAAGAAAUUGACGGAAGAAUACCACAAGGAGUGGAUUG